GGCCAAGCACCGAAGGUGCGUAGGCACCUAUUGUUUUCGUUGGCGUUAUUAGGGGCCAAGCACCGAAGGUGCGUAGGACCCUCUUGUUUUUGUUGGCGUUCUUAUUAUUAUUAUUAUUAUUAUUCUUCCGACUGGGCGUCUAUGGCAGCCCAUAGAACCGAAUGCGGGAAAGUUGUAAUGGUUUGACAUUCUGAUAGAGGACAGUGCCAACAUUAAGUACACCAAUUUUGGUGUGUCUAAGUCAAUCCCUCUAGCGCCACCAACUGUCCAAAAUUUCACUUUAAUUUUGUUAAUAACUUUUUAACCCUAAGGCCAAUCAACGAAAUUCUUUUUUCCUCUAAUUUCUGAGCUCAUGCCGAUUCGAUUGCACCCUACGAAGUCAUUUCCGUCAUAGAAAUAUGACCGCCAUUUUGAAUUUCUUUAAAAACCUACUUUUUCGAACUCGUCCUAGACGGUUUGUCCGAUUCACACGAAAAUUGAACCAUAUCAUCCUCAGGCAGUGCUGACCAAAAGUUAUGCAAAUCAAAUUGAUUCGUCAAACCGUUUUCGAUAAACGCUCUAACAAAUUUUAUGUAGUGCUUACAAAAACAGUCGUAAGGCUGUAUCUCGGCAACGACUUAUCCUAUUCAGACCAAACUCGGUACAUGUCAUAACAAGCAUGACCUGAGGCAACAUGCUGUGAUUGGGCGCAGCGCCACCUACUGAUCCGGAGAUAUGAAAAACUGCUAUUUUUGCUUAUAACUUCUGAACAGUUUGUCCAAAAAUCAUAACAUUGGUCUUGUUAGAUUCAGGGCAACAUGCCGAGUCGACUGAUAUCCAAUUUGACCAUUUCGGCCAUUUUGACUGUCGGCCAUUUUGAAUUUUGUGCUAAAAUGCUGUAUUUUAAGAACGCAUCAGCAGAUUGUUACGAAACUUGGUAUGGUUCAUCAGCACAAUGUCCUGAAGGAGUGUGAGAAGUUUCAAAACAGCGCCACCUAGUGGUGAUCUUCUUUUUUUAAAUGCUUAUAACUUUGGGUGUGGUUGACUUAUUUUCACGAGACUCAUCAAAUUGGACUCCUGAAACCUUACCGAGUCCUAUGAUACCAAACAUGCUAGGUUUUGCCUUUCGGUUUGUGUAGCGUUGUGAUUUAGCGCUUAAAAAACAUUUGGCUAUAUCUUCGAAACCGCUUGUCUGAUCGAGACGAAACCACCGUCAGAAGUUCGGAAACAUAGGUCGAUAGCUAUACGCCAAUGCCCAAAUGCCAAAAUAUUGAUAGUAAGGGGUAGUAAUAAUCAAUCAAAGUCAAGAGUCAGUCAUUUUUUACGUGCUUUUUCAUAUAAAUGUCUAUAACUCUGAAGUGAAUUGAGAUAUUUUCACCAAAAUUGACACACAUAUGUAUGGGCUCACUCUGAGCACACAUAAAAAAAAUGGUGGGACUGAGCCUCUUGGUGGCGCUAUAAUAGAACAAAACAUGAAAUUCUCAUUGACUUCAAUACAGUUUUGUGAAAUAAAAUGCUAUACUAAACAAAUGCAUUGGUGUAAUAUUACGAAACUCAGAAUGUGCCAACAACACCAUCCCCUGAAGGUAUUCAAAAUAUUUUGAAACAGCGCCACCUAGUGGUCAAAAGUUAUAACUCAAUUUACAUAAAGGCUAAUAACUUUUGAAUAAAUCUGGCUAUUGACAUGACGCUGGUCUUUGUAGAUUCCUUGGGUCAAGUCGAGAACAUAGAUACAAAGUUUUCCUUAUUUGGCUGAACUUCCUGUCCGCCAUUUUGAUUAAUGUUGAAAACCUACUUUUUCGAACUCCUCCUAGACCGUUUGUCAGAUUUUCACCAAAUUUGACGUGGCUCAUCUUCAGAAAAUGCUGGCAAAAAGUUAUGGAUUUCGUGUCGACAUACGAAACGGUUCUCAUUUAGCGCAUCAACAAAUCUGCUUGAAUGGUGCCAAAAUGCAUUUGAGGCUGUAUCUCUGCAAAGCUUUGACAUAUUUGCACCAAACUUUGUAUGUGUCAUCGACACCUCACACUGACCGUUCCAAACUAAUUUGGUAACAGCACCACCUAUUGGUUACACGUGAUAAGCGAAUAAAUCCUAUUACUAGUUGUUGUGUUGAUUGUUUUCAAGCCAUUUUGCCUGAAAUAAUCUUAAAACUGUCUUAAUUACUCAUUCCUGCCGUUCGUCUGAAGCUUGCUUCUGUAGUGCUUGGCCCCGUUAUUGCUGCUUGCAGCUAUAUUUAGGGGCCAAGCACCGAAGGUGCGUAGGCACCUAUUGUUUUCGUUGGCGUUAUUAUUAUUCUUCUUCUUCUUCCGCCGCAAGUCUAUGGCAGCCCAUAGAACCGUUUGCGGGAAAGUUGUAUAAUUUGGCACACUGAUAGAGGACAGUCCCAACAUUAACUAUAGCAAAUUUGAAGCCUCUAACUCCUACUCUCUAGCGCCACCACUUGUCCAAACUUUCAAUGUUUGUAUGCUAAUAACUUUUGAACCGUAAGCCAGAAAAUGGAAAUUCUUUUUUCCUCUGAAUCCUUGGCUCAGGCCAAGUCGAAUGAACCCUAAAAUUCAAAAAUCGCAAGGUUUAGUUUUUUCGCUAUUUUCAAUUAUUCGAAAAACCUACUUUUUCGAACUCGUCCUAGACGGUUAGUCCGAUUGCCACGAAAAUUGGCUCAGAUCAUCUUCAGACCAUGCUGGCAAAAAGUUAUGGAAUUCAAGUUGAUUCGUCCAACUGUUGUCGAAUGACACGUAAACAAAUUUGACGAAAAGCACGCAAACAUGCACGUGAGGCUAUAUCCCGGCAACGGUUUGUCAUAUUGAGACCAAACUUGGCGUGUGUUAUAACAAGCAUGAACUGAGACUACA